ACCAGACUCCUACGGGAGGCAGCAGUGGGGAAUAUUGCACAAUGGGGGAAACCCUGAUGCAGCGACGCCGCGUGAGUGAAGAAGUAUUUCGGUAUGUAAAGCUCUAUCAGCAGGGAAGAAAAUGACGGUACCUGGUUAAGAAGCCCCGGCUAACUACGUGCCAGCAGCCGCGGUAAUACGUAGGGGGCAAGCGUUAUCCGGAUUUACUGGGUGUAAAGGGAGCGUAGACGGUUAUGUAAGUCUGGAGUGAAAGCCCGGGGCCCAACCCCGGGACUGCUUUGGAAACUGUGCAGCUAGAGUGCAGGAGAGGUAAGUGGAAUUCCUAGUGUAGCGGUGAAAUGCGUAGAUAUUAGGAGGAACACCAGUGGCGAAGGCGGCUUACUGGACGGUAACUGACGUUGAGGCUCGAAAGCGUGGGGAGCAAACAGGAUUAGAUACCCCAGUACAG
rnacentral:rRNA from 1 species